rnacentral:rRNA from 2 species
GACAAGCGGUGGAGCAUGUGGUUUAAUUCGAAGCAACGCGAAGAACCUUACCAGGUCUUGACAUCCCGAUGCUAUUUCUAGAGAUAGAAAGGUACUUCGGUACAUCGGUGACAGGUGGUGCAUGGUUGUCGUCAGCUCGUGUCGUGAGAUGUUGGGUUAAGUCCCGCAACGAGCGCAACCCUUGUCUUUAGUUGCCAUCAUUAAGUUGGGCACUCUAAAGAGACUGCCGAUGACAAAUCGGAGGAAGGUGGGGAUGACGUCAAAUCAUCAUGCCCUUUAUGUCCUGGGCUACACACGUGCUACAAUGGUCGGUACAACGAGAAGCAAGCCAGCGAUGGCAAGCAAAUCUCUAAAAGCCGAUCCCAGUUCGGAUUGCAGGCUGCAACUCGCCUGCAUGAAGUCGGAGUUGCUAGUAAUCGCGGAUCAGAAUGCCGCGGUGAAUGCGUUCCCGGGUCUU